GGGGCUGUGGGGUAGUUUGGUCCAUCCUUGCUGGUUUGGGACCAGCGGACCCUGGUUCAAAUCCGGGCAGCCCCA
rnacentral:tRNA from 1 species